rnacentral:rRNA from 1 species
AAGCGUUUAUGACCAGACUUGGGCUUGGUUAAUCAUCUGGGGUUCUCCCCAGUGCACUUUUCCAGUCCAGGCCAGCAUCAGUUUUCCCCGGGGGAUAAAAGCUUUAGGAAUGUGGCUCUUCGGAGUGUUAUAGCC